rnacentral:rRNA from 1 species
AACACAUGCAAGUCGAGCGGAAAGGCCUUUCGGGGUACUCGAGCGGCGAACGGGUGAGUAACACGUGAGUAAUCUGCCCUUGGCUUUGGGAUAACUACCGGAAACGGUGGCUAAUACCGGAUACGACACAGGCGUGCAUGCGCUCUGUGUGGAAAGUUUUUUCGGCCAGGGAUGUGCUCGCGGCCUAUCAGCUUGUUGGUGGGGUAAUGGCCUACCAAGGCUUCGACGGGUAGCCGGCCUGAGAGGGUGACCGGCCACACUGGGACUGAGACACGGCCCAGACUCCUACGGGAGGCAGCAGUGGGGAAUAUUGGACAAUGGGCGGAAGCCUGAUCCAGCAACGCCGCGUGAGGGAUGACGGCCUUCGGGUUGUAAACCUCUUUCAGUACCGACGAAGCGCCGAUGAUGGUGGUGACGGUAGGUACAGAAGAAGCACC